UACGAAGGGGGCUAGCGUUGUUCGGAAUUACUGGGCGUAAAGCGCGCGUGGGCGGGCAUCUAAGUCAGGGGUGAAAUGCCAGGGCUCAACCUUGGAAUUGCCUUUGAUACUGGAUGUCUGGAGUUCGGGAGAGGUGAGUGGAAUUCCGAGUGUAGAGGUGAAAUUCGUAGGUAUUCGGAGGAGCACCAGAAGCGAAGGCGGCUCACUGGCCCGAUACUGACGCUGAGGCGCGAAAGCGUGGGGAGCAAACAGG
rnacentral:rRNA from 1 species